CUUUGUUUUCCAUCCAACCAGCUUCAUUUUGUUUGCAAAGACAUACACUCACCCAUUUCUCUCUUGAUACCAGACACUAAGCUUGCAAGACACCAACAUUCAACCGCCGGGUAAACGUCAAAACCAUCUCAAGGCCAAAGAAGGUGUUCAUCUUCAUCGAAAACCCGGGGUGAUCAAAUUCAUGUCACCACUAGGAGUCGAGACUUUAAAGAUUGGAUAGACCAAGUAAAGGAACAUGAAACUUAUUAUCUUUAUAAUGGGGAGCCUGUGGUUAAUGAUGGCCCUUUCAAAGUAUGUUCCAACCAACUCAAGCUUCUCUUUAAUGGAGGGACUACCUCACCAAUGUGGACAUACCAGAAAUUCCACCUCACAAAUUCAACUUUCAUGCCAUUGAAA